rnacentral:rRNA from 1 species
ACUCCUACGGGAGGCAGCAGUGAGGAAUAUUGGACAAUGGAGGCAACUCUGAUCCAGCCAUGCCGCGUGCAGGAAGACUGCCCUAUGGGUUGUAAACUGCUUUUUAUACAGGAAGAAACACCUCUACGUGUAGAGAUUUUGACGGGUACUGUAAGAAUAAGGAUCGGCUAACUCCGUGCCAGCAGCCGCGGUAAUACGGAGGAUCCAAGCGUUAUCCGGAAUCAUUGGGUUUUAAAGGGUCCGUAGGUGGAUAAUUAAGUCAGAGGUGAAAUCCUGCAGCUUAACUGUAGAAUUGCCUUUGAUACUGGUUGUCUUGAGUUAUUAUGAAGUGGUUAGAAUAUGUAGUGUAGCGGUGAAAUGCAUAGAUAUUACAUAGAAUACCAAUUGCGAAGGCAGAUCACUAAUAAUAUACUGACACUGAU